ensembl:lncRNA
CUGGGAAUCCACUGGAAUUUUCUUUCUUUCUUCUUUUUCUUUUUAUUAUUCUGGUUUAUGUGCUGAGUCACCCUAGCCUCAGGCAAGUUCCUUUACCCCAGUGACCCUAACAAAGAGUCAAGUAGGAUGAGCAGGUUCAUGCCAGGCCUGGACUGUCUGCCACGCCUCUCCUGCUCUCCCUUCUGACCCUAGUGGCACUGAACCCCAGCCUUGACCCAGUCACAGGUUGUGGCCUAGGGCCAAACUUAUAUAGAGUCCAGACAAAUGAGGGUUCUGUAUCUAGUCUGAGAGUAAAGAGGAAGUCUAGGGAGAGGGGUCUAGAGGGAGUAAAAAUGGCUUAAAAAUGUGACGCAGAGUUGUACAAAGUCAUCAGCCUCACUCUCUCUUCCUGACUAGUUGCCAAUGGGAUGACCUGGAGCAAGCCAAGGAUGAGGUGAGGAAAUGGAGGCAAACAGAGUUAAAUGACUUACCCAGGAUCACACAGCUAGCAAGUAUCUGAGAUAAGGUUUGAACCCAGGACUUCUGACUCCAGGCCAGGCACUCUACCCAAAACACUACCACCUUCUGAGUAAGGGACAAUCUUGCUUUCUUAUUUUUUACAGGUCCUGGCAUAUACAUAUAAUAAGCAAUUAAUAAAUGCUCUCUGUCUCCUUCUUGGUUUGUCUGUUUCUCUUAUUUUAUAGCUAAGGAAAUUGAUACUGAAAGUUAAGUGACUUGGCCUCAGUGGCAAUCCAAGAUUUGCUUCCUCGUAUCCAGGUCUAAGAUCCGUGUUCUUUCAGCCUGAGGGAAAAGCAAAAGUAACUAUGUUUGAGAAUGAAACCUACAGCUUGAUCCUUAUUAUUGAACUUGAACCUUAUUUGUGAACCAAGAUCAGAGAAAAGUGAAGCAAUAUUUCACCAGGAAGUUUCUGGAGAAUUUUUGAGCUGGACAUGUUGACUUUCCCAUGCAAAGGUUCAUUCACUUGUCCCAAAAGAGGGAUUCAGUGUGGGAAAGAGUUCAUCAGGGCUGUGAGAAGAUCAGCUAGUCAGAUGGAGAGGCCCAGGAGUGUGAUAUGGUGGAAUGGACCAUUACCCCUGAAGCAUUGUUCAUCCCAGGAAAUUUGAACUUCCUCUGAUAACUGGUAAAACUGGGGAAGUGACUCAAGGUGGAUCUGAGCCCUAGCUAAGGUGCUUCAUGAUGCCUGGCUCUCCUCUCACCAGCACCCAAUCAGGCAGCACUAUGGAUUAUAUUGACAUGGAGAGGAUAUAACAUUGUAAAUAGAAGACUAGCCUUAGAACUAAGAAGACUUGGAUUGAAAUCCUGCCUUAUAUACUUAUUAACCAGGUGAUCUUGGGUCACCUCUUUCACUAUGGAAGUCUACUGUCAGAUGCAAAGAAUAUCUGUAACACCUUUCUCUAAGAAACAAUGUUUAUUGGCCUCUUGGUCCAAAUUUAACUAUUGUCUUCAGCAGACAGUCUACGAUGACAGCUGAAUCUCUUUCUCAAGACCAGAGAUCCAGAAGAAGAAUUUGGAAUAUUUCUCUCUAAAUGUGUGAGCUUAUAUUGGCCAACACUGAAGCCCAUCUACCCUUUUUUUCUGUUCUUUCUGUUUCAUAAGAUCUUUCUGAAGUUUCUCCACUUCAGCUUGAUUUUUAAGUAUCCCAAGGGAAUAAUAACCUAUUUAGGGACCUUGGGACAUAAGAUAUAUUGGCACAUUUGUACAGCUGGAGUGGGGAAGACAGGUGGGAACUCACAAUAAAAAAAAUGGGCAAGUCA